GCACGAAAAUAAUGAUGUCAUUGCCGCAAUAUGUUCAAGGUGUAU
rnacentral:sRNA from 1 species